GACGAACGCUGGCGGCGUGCCUAACACAUGCAAGUCGAGCGGAGACAGUGGAGUGCUUGCACAAAACUGUUUUAGCGGCGGACGGGUGAGUAACGCGUGAGCAACCUCUCUCCCAGUGGGGAAUAACACAGGGAAACUUGUACUAAUACCGCAUGAGACCACAGGAUCGCAUGGUCCAGGGGCCAAAGAUUUAUCGCUGAGAGGUGGGCUCGCGUCUGAUUAGAUAGUUGGUGAGGUAACGGCUCACCAAGUCGACGAUCAGUAGCCGACCUGAGAGGGUGAUCGGCCACUAUUGGGACUGGAGACACGGCCCAA
rnacentral:rRNA from 1 species